AGAUCUUCCACCAGGCAGCAUGUGGCAGGGUCUCGAAACAAAUGCUGAGGCAUAAACAGCCAAAUUUCUUAUUCCCAGCUUCAUCUGGGAAAGGAGAGAGUCGGUCACCGUACAGAGGUGCUACGUACCAUCCCUUGAACACACUCGCCUUAGCUGUAUUCACAUGAAAUAAAACUGCUGCUAAUUGCCUGCAAAUAGCUGCUUUCUCUUGAUCCUGUGAGUGCCUUGAGGUUCAGUUGGAAGUUUGAUACCGACUUUAUUGGAGCCUGAGAAUGAACAACAAAUUUACUGCUUAAUUAUUCCAAAAGGCCCUGCUGGCAGCAAGUGCCCUCUCCUGCCCCUGGUUUUGUCACACACAGUGCUUUUCUUAGGAAAGGGGCCUUUACCAAAUACAGACCUGGAUUCUGCUCUGUUAGAGUUUGUCUGAUGCUUUCCAGAAGGUGAACCUCCACACAUCAAUUCUGCAGAAGGGGUUAGAGGUCCGCUAAUACCAUCCUUGCUGAAAACAGCUGUAACUUGAAGAACAGCAACAGCUGGAGGUCAAGCAGCUAUCAUCCCUGAAAUAGUUGCCUUCUCACUGGUAUUGAAACUACUACUUGUCAUCAGCUAGAUCACUUCAAAACACUCCCUGUACUAUGAAGGACUGACCACUGUGAUAGACCAUGGUAAUUAAAUCUACAUAAUCUAGAGAGCCCCUGCAGAAAACUGAAAGUUUUGGGACACAAAACUGCAAGAGAGGUCCUGUUUCAAGGGAGAACAGGAAUGUUUAGUGGGAAGAUUAGCAGAAGGAAAACAAGUCAUGGAUAUAAAAAGCAACCUAAGCUGAAGAGCCAGAACACCAAACUGAAAACUACCUUACCACCCCAAAUGCACACGCCUCAUUACUCUUGUAGCACCUGGCAGCUGCAUUGCUCUGGUUUAGGAGAGGGUUACUAGAUUCUACUGAGUGCAUUGGGUCAACAUUUUACUCACAUUUACAAUAGACACCAAAUGCUACACAAGUAUCAGAAUUGUUUUCAUUCAGACAAUUUCCAGGUGUCACAGCACCUAAAAGAGUAGAAAGCACUAUUUACUACCCUACAAUAACUAAAUGCAAAAUUUCCCCUACCCAGUUUGUUGGAGUUGAAUUGUAUUCCCCUUCCCAGAAAUUAGUGACUGAUUUAGGAACCAUGGAUUCUGAGUGAUGGAACUGGCCCUAUUGCUGCCCUUGUUGCCCCGCUGGGGCUGAAGCAGGCUUCUUACAGAAAUUCUUCAAACAUCAGGCAAGUACUAGAUGACUCAUUUUAAAAGCCUAAAUAGUGGUGUUGUUUUUUUUUCCAUUCAAAUUACCUUCUAUCUCAUUUUUAUUAGCUACAUUUUUGAAGAUAGCUGUAAGACUCAAAUUCAUCAUGAUAAGAAUGAACAGAUACAGCUGAAGUGGUAGUUUGCAGAAUCAGUUUCUUCCCUGAGACUUACUAGAAAGUGCAAAUAUAGACUCAUUUAUUACAACCUUAAAUUCCAGUUGUUUCUAUAAAUGCUGAUUUCUGCAGAGGCUUUAAUCCUCCAUAUGGAGGCACUAAGCACCAGCUCAUUUUGUUCCUGGAAAAACUGGGGGAAAGCUUAUUUCAAAUUUCUAAUUAAAAUUCUUUCUUGCUGCAUAAGGAGUCCUGAUGGGAUUCCUCAGGGUAGUUGGAUGGGCUUUUGAUUGAAUUACAACUGGCCUGAUUGUGUGAAUAUUUCAUUAAAAUGUUCUGAACUGAAAACAACAAUUAAUGACAACCUGAAUAAUAAAAAGCACUACUUUACCUUCAAUGCUUUCUUUUCCCACAGUUGAUUCAAAUUAGAUGCUUAGUAACUAGAAAAAAUAAACAAACAAACCAACCUAGAAACAAACAACAACAAAAAAAGAUUAAGCAGGAGUCAGUGCAGGGGAAGAGGAAAAGAGUAGAGCCAUCAUCAUUGGAAGUCAGAAGUGCUGUGGCUGGAGGCAAUGGUUGUAUAUGUGGCGCUGUAGCAGAGCUGUGAUCGUGAAGCAUAACUGUGCUGCUGAUCUGUCAUUUUUUCACUAUUCUACGCUAUCUUUUGUUUUGAUCCAAUCUCACCUACAGUAAUUUCAGCCUACCUUCUCUUGUAUUUAUCAAUAUCAUUGCUGAGUUUUACUGUACAUAACUACACUGUCCAUAGGACAAAUUUGGUUUAAAAAUUCCAGAAUAAAUAAAUUGGCCAAAC
rnacentral:lncRNA from 7 species